rnacentral:rRNA from 1 species
AGGGGCAUCAGUUUGGUUUGCUUGCAAACCAAAGCUGGCGACCGGCGCACGGGUGAGUAACACGUAUCCAACCUGCCUCAUACUCGGGGAUAGCCUUUCGAAAGAAAGAUUAAUAUCCGAUAGCAUAUAUUUCCCGCAUGGGUUUUAUAUUAAAGAAAUUCGGUAUGAGAUGGGGAUGCGUUCCAUUAGUUUGUUGGCGGGGUAACGGCCCACCAAGACUACGAUGGAUAGGGGUUCUGAGAGGAAGGUCCCCCACAUUGGAACUGAGACACGGUCCAAACUCCUACGGGAGGCAGCAGUGAGGAAUAUUGGUCAAUGGACGCGAGUCUGAACCAGCCAAGUAGCGUGAAGGAUGACUGCCCUAUGGGUUGUAAACUUCUUUUAUAUGGGAAUAAAGUGGUCCACGUGUGGAUUUUUGUAUGUACCAUAUGAAUAAGGAUCGGCUAACUCCGUGCCAGCAGCCGCGGUAAUACGGAGGAUCCGAGCGUUAUCCGGAUUUAUUGGGUUUAAAGGGAGCGUAGGCGGAUUGUUAAGUCAGUUGUGAAAGUUUGCGGCUCAACCGUAAAAUUGCAGUUGAUACUGGCAGUCUUGAGUGCAGUAGAGGUGGGCGGAAUUCGUGGUGUAGCGGUGAAAUGCUUAGAUAUCACGAAGAACUCCGAUUGCGAAGGCAGCUCACUGGAGUGUAACUGACGCUGAUGCUCGAAAGUGUGGGUAUCAAACAGG